GCAUCGAUAGUUUAGGGGUAGAAUUGAAGCUUCCCAUCUUGCCAUAGACGGACUUUCUUUAGGCAUGGGUUCGAUUCCCGUUCGAUGCA
rnacentral:tRNA from 1 species